rnacentral:rRNA from 1 species
AUUGAACGCUGGCGGAAUGCUUUACACAUGCAAGUCGAACGGCAGCACGGACUUCGGUCUGGUGGCGAGUGGCGAACGGGUGAGUAAUGUAUCGGAACGUGCCCAGUCGUGGGGGAUAACGUAGUGAAAAUUACGCUAGUACCGCAUACGAUCUAUGGAUGAAAGCGGGGGAUCGCAAGACCUCGCGCGAUUGGAGCGGCCGAUAUCAGAUUAGGUAGUUGGUGGGGUAAAGGCCCACCAAGCCAACGAUCUGUAGCUGGUCUGAGAGGACGACCAGCCACACUGGAACUGAGACACGGUCCAGACUCCUACGGGAGGCAGCAGUGGGGAAUUUUGGAAAAUGGGCGAAAGCCUGAUCCAGCCAUUCCGCGUGCAGGAUGAAGGCCCUCGGGUUGUAAACUGCUUUUGUACAGAACGAAAAGGUUUCUACUAAUACUAGGAGCUCAUGACGGUACUGUAAGAAUAAGCACCGGCUAACUACGUGCCAGCCGCCGCAGUAA